rnacentral:rRNA from 1 species
UACGAAGGGUGCAAACGUUGCUCGGAAUUAUUGGGCGUAAAGCGCACGUAGGCGCCCCAGCAAGUCGGAAGUGAAAUCCCACGGCUCAACCAUGGAAGUGCUUUCGAAACUGCUGGGCUUGAGUACAAAAGAGGAUCGCGGAAUUCCCGGUGUAGAGGUGAAAUUCGUAGAUAUCGGGAGGAACACCAGUGGCGAAGGCGGCGAUCUGG